rnacentral:sRNA from 1 species
ACGACUGAGAAGAAGAAUUAUUGCUGA